UGGCGACGGGUGAGUAAGCUUAGGAAUCUGCCUAUUAAUGGGGGACAACAAUUCGAAAGGAUUGCUAAUACCGCAUACGCCCUACGGGGGAAAGCAGGGGACUCGUAAGAGCCUUGCGUUAAUAGAUGAGCCUAAGUCGGAUUAGCUAGUUGGUGGGGUAAAGGCCUACCAAGGCGACGAUCUGUAGCGGGUCUGAGAGGAUGAUCCGCCACACUGGGACUGAGACACGGCCCAGACUCCUACGGGAGGCAGCAGUGGGGAAUAUUGGACAAUGGGGGGAACCCUGAUCCAGCCAUGCCGCGUGUGUGAAGAAGGUCGUAAGACUGUAAAGCACUUUAAGCGAGGAGGAGGGUAACUAUGCUAAUACCAUGGUUUAUCGGACGCUACUCGCAGAAUAAGCACCGGCUAACUCUGUGCCAGCAGCCGCGGUAAUACAGAGGGUGCGAGCGUUAAUCGGAAUUACUGGGCGUAAAGCGCGCGUAGGUGGCAAAUUAAGUCGGAUGUGAAAUCCCCGAGCUC
rnacentral:rRNA from 1 species